UACGUAGGGUGCAAGCGUUGUCCGGAAUUAUUGGGCGUAAAGAGCUCGUAGGCGGUCUGUCGCGUCUGCUGUGAAAACUCAGGGCUUAACCCUGAGCUUGCAGUGGGUACGGGCAGACUAGAGUGCGGUAGGGGAGACUGGAAUUCCUGGUGUAGCGGUGAAAUGCGCAGAUAUCAGGAGGAACACCCGUGGCGAAGGCGGCUCUCUGGGACGGUACUGACGCUGAGACGCGAAAGCGUGGGGAGCGAACAGG
rnacentral:rRNA from 1 species